UACGUAGGUGGCAAGCGUUGUCCGGAAUUAUUGGGCGUAAAGAGCUCGUAGGCGGUCUGUCGCGUCGGCUGUGAAAACUCGAGGCUCAACCUCGAGACGCCGGUGGAAACCAUCAGACUAGAGUCCGGAAGAGGAGAGUGGAAUUCCUGGUGUAGCGGUGAAAUGCGCAGAUAUCAGGAAGAACACCCGUGGCUAAGGCGGCUCUCUAGUACGGUACUGACGCUGAGACGCGAAAGCGUGGGGAGCGAACAGG
rnacentral:rRNA from 1 species